UACGGAGGGUGCGAGCGUUAAUCGGAAUUACUGGGCGUAAAGCGUGCGUAGACGGCUAUCUACGUCGGGUGUGAAAGCCCCGGGCUCAACCUGGGAAUUGCAUUCGAGACUGAAUAGCUAGGGUGCGGUAGAGGGAAGCGGAAUUUCCGGUGUAGCGGUGAAAUGCGUAGAUAUCGGAAGGAACAUCAGUGGCGAAAGCGGCUCCCUGGACCAGAACCGACGUUCAGGCACGAAAGCGUGGGGAGCAAACAGG
rnacentral:rRNA from 1 species